GNGNNAGGAGAGCACAGCGAUAGCCUCAGUAACGGCGAGUGAAGCGGCUACAGCUCAAAUUUGAAAUCUGGCCUCCUUUGGGGGUCCGAGUUGUAAUUUGCAGAGGAUGCUUUGGCAUUGGCGGCGGUCUAAGUUCCUUGGAACAGGACAUCGCAGAGGGUGAGAAUCCCGUACGUGGGCGCCUGCCUUUGCCGUGUAAAGCUCCUUCGACGAGUCGAGUUGUUUGGGAAUGCAGCUCUAAAUGGGAGGUAAAUUUCUCCUAAAGCUAAAUACCGGCCAGAGACCGAUAGCGCACAAGUAGAGUGAUCGAAAGAUGAAAAGUACUUUGGAAAGAGAGUCAAAUAGCACGUGAAAUUGUUGAAAGGGAAGCGCUUGCAGCCAGACUUGCCCGCAGUUGCUCACCUAGGCUUUCGCCUGGGGCACUCUUCUGCGGGCAGGCCAGCAUCAGUUUGGGCGGUCGGAUAAAGGCCUCUGUCAUGUACCACCCCUCGGGGUGGCCUUAUAGGGGAGGCGUAAUGCGACCAGCCCGGACUGAGGUCCGCGCAUCUGCUAGGAUGCUGGCGUAAUGGCUGUAAGCGGCCCGUCUUGAAACACGGACCAAGGAGUCUAACAUCUAUGCGAGUGUUUGGGG
rnacentral:rRNA from 1 species